AUACGUAGGGGGCGAGCGUUGUCCGGAAUGAUUGGGCGUAAAGGGCGCGUAGGCGGCCCGGUAAGUCUGGAGUGAAAGUCCUGUUUUUGAGAUGGGAAUUGCUUUGGAUACUGUCGGGCUUGAGUGCAGGAGAGGUAAGUGGAAUUCCCAGUGUAGCGGUGAAAUGCGUAGAGAUUGGGAGGAACACCAGUGGCGAAGGCGACUUACUGGACUGUAACUGACGCUGAGGCGCGAAAGUGUGGGGAGCAAACAGGAUUAGAUACCCUGGUAGUCCACACUGUAAACGAUGAAUGCUAGGUGUAGGGGGUAUCGACCCCUUCUGUGCCGCAGUCAACACAAUAAGCAUUCCGCCUGGGGAGUACGGCCGCAAGGUUGAAACUCAAAUGAAUUGGCGGGG
rnacentral:rRNA from 1 species